UAAAAACUACCUGGUCCCGACACUUUUCUCAUCUUUCCCAUCCUUGACUACGCCGAUUCCUGUUACCUAGACGCCACUGAGGAGCAGUUAACUAGACUCGAACGUCUACAGAAUCUGUGUAUACGUUUCGUGUUUGGUUUGAGGAAGUUUGACCAUAUCUCGGCCUACCGUACAAAACUUAAAUGGCUACCUAUCCGUCUCCGUCGUAACUCCCACAUCCUCUGCCUACUUUACAAAACCUUGUACAAUCCUCACUCUCCUUCAUACCUCCUUGACCGAUUCAACUUCUCUCGAUCUCCUGAUCUCCCUUGUAGGUCCAAUGUCCGGUCUAAUCUUUCCCUCCCCUCCCAUCGUUCCAACUUCUACUCCUACUCGUUCACUGUUCAUGCUGUCAGAUUGUGGAACUCGCUUCCUCACACCAUCCGUGACAGUCCCACCAUUGCUGUUUUUAAAAGACGCUUGAAAGAGCACUACCUUGAAUCUCUAUCCAU